UACGUAGGGGGCAAGCGUUGUCCGGAAUUAUUGGGCGUAAAGAGCUCGUAGGCGGUUCGUCGCGUCGGCUGUGAAAUCCCGAGGCUCAACCUCGGGUCUGCAGUCGAUACGGGCGGACUGGAGUACGGCAGGGGAGACUGGAAUUCCUGGUGUAGCGGUGAAAUGCGCAGAUAUCAGGAGGAACACCGGUGGCGAAGGCGGGUCUCUGGGCCGAUACUGACGCUGAGGAGCGAAAGCGUGGGGAGCGAACAGG
rnacentral:rRNA from 1 species